ACCGUGUUUAAAGUACAUUUCAGUUUAUCAACAGUAAUAUUAGCUGACCUACAAGUCGGAUAAAUGAACACCUUUUUUCCCUUUUACUUCGCAGGCGAUGUGUUGCAGGUCGGAAAAAACUCAAGCUGUCCGUUUGCCUGAUGGUGGAAAUAUCCCUCUAAAAAUAUACAGAGGCAUUCCUGUAUCAGCAGCAGUCACAAAAUCCAUGGCGGAUGAGGGAUAUCCACACACUGGCUUCUUGGUGAGUAAAUGAAGCUAAAUCAAAGGUUACAAAAGUAUUCAGGAUAAAGAAAAGCAAAUAUGUUUCUUCAUACACUGCCCUUCAGUUUCAUUCUAAACUUACCAGGGAUCAAAACAUUACUGCAAAUAAAUUUCUUUCUGCUCUGUAUUAAUGUGUGAUGUGUCAUAAAUGAGCAAUGAUCUGUAAAAACAACACAAUGAUCCCUUACCAUUAGCGAGCUGGAAACAGCGAUCAGCCUCUUAAACAUGUACAUACAGGGACCCCUGCUGGUUGCAAUAUAUACUUAAAAAUCAAAAUUCACAAUUCAACUUUGCGGGCAACGGAUGGAAAUGAAAAAUAAAAACAGCAGCACAGUACGGAAGCUGUGAUCAGCUGUCGCGCAGGGCGAUUUCAUCGUCAAACCUAGUGAUUCAACAUCAGUCUACAGGUAGAAGUCAUAUGAUUAUAGAGUCAACUCAGUCACAAGAUGUGAUAAUGCUUUAAUAAUACAGACAUGUUAGUGCCAUAUGAACACAGAAGAAGUGUGUUUGAAAUGUGUAUAAAAGGGGGAAAAGGAAACAGUAACACAUUAAAUAGUUUUGGAACAACACUGGCACACAAGCAAUGGAAAUAAUUACACUGCAGAUUAGAUGCUGAUAGAUAUUACACAUGGUUUAGGAUAAUAAUAAGAAUGACUUUCAAUAGUUGAACUGAAAUUUUUAAUGCAGCCAGAAUUUACAUGAGCUUUUAUUUAUUUAUUUUUAAACAGACAGUACCUCUUUGGAUGUUGAUGUAUGAACAACCUGUCAAACUAACGCAAAUCCACUUUAAUUAAGCUGUCUGUGAAAAUUAGCAUUUUUGUGGAUGAAUCCCUGUUUAUUUCUUUGAUAUUAAUAUGACACAUUUGAUAAUAUAGUACAGCUUUUUAGUAGGCAACAUUGUGGAGAGCUGCAACUCAGUGACCACUAGGUGUCGUUCACUGCACACAUUAAUUCAGCAUCAGUUUACGCAUAACCAACAAUUACAGAGAACAUGACAGGACGGCCACUAUACACUGGCUCAAACCCGUUCAUGUCUCCAAUCACAUUCAUUUUAGUAAAGCGGCUUGCAGAGAGGAAUUA